CAAAUUACAAACAUACGAUUUCAAGUGUUUUUUGAGGAUCUGUGUUUGUUCGUCAGAAAGUCUGCACGCUACUCAGCUACUUUGAAGAGAAGGAGGAGUCCAUGCUUCUCUGUGUUGAAGAUACAUGUCUGGCAGAUGAGGUACAACUGGAGCAAGUGCCUCUGACACCCACUAUUAUCAUGUGUGGACAGUCCUGCUAUUCCUCAAGAAGAUACAUGCUGAGUGUUGAUCGGCACCUCGUCAGCACAAACAUAUCCUCCUUCAUUUCUGCACUGUGCCUCAUGUUCGGGAGCUACUACAAUUUCAACAUCCAUUAUCCAUCUGAGCUGGCUUCCACUUUAGAGUUUCUUCAGAGGUGAACAAAUAUGGCUUUGUUAUUUCUCAUAACUGAGACUCUGGGAUCUGGAGUCUGGCUUUGAUGUGGUUCGAGUCCAGGUCUGGCUCUGAGUCUCGGUCGGCUUUGGAGCCGGUUUCAGUUGUUUUUUCUGUUUUUUGUUGUUGUUUUUUUUGUUUGUUUGGUUUUUUUAAAUACAUUAACAGUCUGAAUCUGGGUCCAAGCCUGGCCGAGACUCAGGGCUAGACCAAGCGUCAACUGACGUCUGACUACCUAUAACCUUUGCUUUGGAUUUUAACAAUGCUAAAGUGUGACAUAUCACUGCAGAAGACACUCG
ensembl:lncRNA